rnacentral:rRNA from 1 species
UACGUAGGGGGCGAGCGUUAUCCGGAUUUAUUGGGCGUAAAGGGUGCGUAGGCGGUAUGUUAAGUCUAAAAUCAAAGCCCGAGGCUUAACCUCGGUUCGUUUUAGAAACUGGCAAACUAGAGUGCAGUAGAGGCAAGUGGAAUUUCUAGUGUAGCGGUUAAAUGCGUAGAUAUUAGAAGGAACACCAGUGGCGAAGGCGGCCUGCUGGGCUGUAACUGACGCUGAGGCACGAAAGCGUGGGGAGCAAAUAGG